rnacentral:rRNA from 1 species
AGUCCCGUACACGAAAACACACAGGCUGUGAACUCGAAGAGUAGGGCGGGACACGUGGUAUCCUGUCUGAAUAUGGGGGGACCAUCCUCCAAGGCUAAAUACUCCUGACUGACCGAUAGUGAACCAGUACCGUGAGGGAAAGGCGAAAAGAACCCCGGCGAGGGGAGUGAAAAAGAACCUGAAACCGUGUACGUACAAGCAGUGGGAGCACCUUCGGGUGUGACUGCGUACCUUUUGUAUAAUGGGUCAGCGACUUAUAUUCUGUAGCAAGGUUAACCGUAUAGGGGAGCCGAAGGGAAACCGAGUCUUAACUGGGCGUUAAGUUGCAGGGUAUAGACCCGAAACCCGGUGAUCUAGCCAUGGGCAGGUUGAAGGUUGGGUAACACUAACUGGAGGACCGAACCGACUAAUGUUGAAAAAUUAGCGGAUGACCUGUGGCUGGGGGUGAAAGGCCAAUCAAACCGGGAGAUAGCUGGUUCUCCCCGAAAGCUAUUUAGGUAGCGCCUCGUGAACUCAUCUUCGGGGGUAGAGCACUGUUUCGGCUAGGGGGCCAUCCCGGCUUACCAACCCGAUGCAAACUACGAAUACCGAAGAAUGUUAUCACGGGAGACACACGGCGGGUGCUAACGUCCGUCGUGAAGAGGGAAACAACCCAGACCGCCAGCUAAGGUCCCAAAGUCAUGGUUAAGUGGGAAACGAUGUGGGAAGGCCCAGACAGCCAGGAUGUUGGCUUAGAAGCAGCCAUCAUUUAAAGAAAGCGUAAUAGCUCACUGGUCGAGUCGGCCUGCGCGGAAGAUGUAACGGGGCUAAACCAUGCACCGAAGCUGCGGCAGCGAC